GCUUCUUCGGAGAGCACACGACCGGCGCACGGGUGAGUAACGCGUAUGUAACCUUCCUCUUUCAGGAAGAUAGCUCCCGGAAACGGGAAUAAUAUUCCAUAGUCCAUAAUAAUCACAUGAUUAGUAUGGUAAAGUUCCGACGGAAAGAGAUGGACAUGCGUGUCAUUAGUUAGUUGGUGAGGUAACGGCUCACCAAGACGACGAUGACUAGGGGUUCUGAAAGGAUGAUCCCCCACACUGGUACUGAGACACGGACCAGACUCCUACGGGAGGCAGCAGUGAGGAAUAUUGCGCAAUGGAGGCAACUCUGACGCAGCCAUGCCGCGUGCAGGAGGACGGCCCUACAGGUUGUAAACUGCUUUUCUUAACUAAGAACCGUGGAUAAUCUUAUCCACCUGACUGGUUUUGGAAUAAGCAUCGGCUAACUCCGUGCCAGCAGCCGCGGUAAUACGGAGGAUGCAAGCGUUAUCCGGAUUCACUAGGUUUAAAGGGUGCGUAGGCGGAAUAAUAAGUCAGUGGUGACAUCUUGCGGCUCAACCGUAAAAUUGCCAGUGAUACUGUUAUUCUUGAGUAUGGUUGAGGUAGGCGGAAUGAGUAAUGUAGCGGUGAAAUGCUUAGAUAUUACUCAGAACACCGAUUGCGUAGGCAGCUUACCAAGCCAUCACUGACGCUGAGGCACGAAAGCGUGGGUAGCAAACAGGAUUAGAUACCCUGGUAGUCCACGCCGUAAACGUUGAUUACUCGUUGUUGGCAAUACACCGUCAGCGACUGAGCAAAAGCAUUAAGUAAUCCACCUGGGGAGUACGUCAGCAAUGAUGAAACUCAAAGGAAUUGACGGGGGCCCGCACAAGCGGUGGAGCAUGUGGUUUAAUUCGACGCAACGCGAAGAACCUUACCUGGAUUUGACAUCUCGGGAAUCCCGCGGAAACGCGGGAGUGCCCUUCGGGGAGCCCGAAGACAGGUGCUGCAUGGCUGUCGUCAGCUCGUGUCGUGAGAUGUUGGGUUAAGUCCCGCAACGAGCGCAACCCCUAUCUUCAGUUACCAGCGAGUAAAGUCGGGGACUCUGGAGAUACUGCCCCGGUCAACGGGGAGGAAGGUGGGGAUGACGUCAAGUCCUCAUGGCCUUUAUGUCCAGGGCUACACACGUGCUACAAUGGGCUGUACAGAGGGAAGCGAUCUCGCGAGGGUGAGCCAAUCCCAAAAAGCAGUCCUCAGUUCGGAUUGGAGUCUGCAACUCGACUCCAUGAAGCUGGAAUCGCUAGUAAUCGCGGAUCAGCAUGCCGCGGUGAUACGUUCCCGGGCCUUGUACACACCGCCCGUCACACCAUGAGAGUUGGCUGUACCAGAAG
rnacentral:rRNA from 1 species